rnacentral:rRNA from 1 species
GACGUAGGGCGCGAGCGUUGUCCGGAUUUAUUGGGCGUAAAGAGCUCGUAGGCGGCUUGUCGCGUCGUCCGUGAAAACCCACAGCUCAACUGUGGGCUUGCGGUCGAUACGGGCAGACUAGAGUUCGGUAGGGGAGACUGGAAUUCCUGGUGUAGCGGUGAAAUGCGCAGAUAUCAGGAGGAACACCGGUGGCGAAGGCGGGUCUCUGGGCCGAUACUGACGCUGAGGAGCGAAAGCGUGGGGAGCGAACAGG